UACAGUGUCGUCAAGUGUAACAGCAACUCCAUGUGGAAUAAGUAGAUUUCCAGUGGAGGUGCUGUUACUUUUGAAGCUACUGAC
rnacentral:pre_miRNA from 11 species